GGAAUAUUGGACAAUGGACGCAAGUCUGACCCAGCGACGCCGCGUGGGUGAUGAAGGCCUUCGGGUCGUAAAGCCCUGUGGGCAGGGAAGAAAACGGUUGGUUCAAAUAGGGCCAAUCCUUGACGGUACCUGCUCAGAAAGCACCGGCUAACUCUGUGCCAGCAGCCGCGGUAAGACAGAGGGUGCAAACGUUGCCCGGAAUUACUGGGCGUAAAGCGCGUGUAGGCGGACCGUUGUGUCAGGCGUGAAAGCCCUGGGCUCAACCCAGGAACUGCACCUGAAACUGGCGGUCUUGAGUGGUGGAGAGGGAAGUGGAAUUCCUGGUGUAGAGGUGAAAUUCGUAGAUAUCAGGAGGAACACCAGUGGCGAAGGCGGCUUCCUGGACACCAACUGACGCUGAGACGCGAAAGCGUGGGGAGCAAAC
rnacentral:rRNA from 1 species